CAGGAGGAGCAGCAGCAGCGAGCAUCAUGCCAUUUCUGUUUGCAUUUUACAUUCAGCUGCGUGUUGCUAUCGAAAUACCUGUGGUGAUCUUUCCUUUUGUUCGCUCUUCAACUGUCGACUGACAGCUGUUGACAGAAUGAGAUGCAAAGCGCAGCAAAAAAUGGUAGAGUAAGAGAGACAGAGAGAGAGAGAGAGGCAGAUAGACCACGUUGGCCCAUACUCCUCAACAUGCAACUCAUGCCACAUUGUAUUAUGUCCAUCAAACAGAUGCACAACAACAAGCAACAAACAA